rnacentral:rRNA from 1 species
GACGAACGCUGGCGGCGUGCUUAACACAUGCAAGUCGAACGGAAAGGCCUCUUUCGGGGGGUACUCGAGUGGCGAACGGGUGAGUAACACGUGAGUAACCUGCCCUUGACUUUGGGAUAACUUCAGGAAACUGGGGCUAAUACCGGAUAGGAGCUCCUGCUGCAUGGUGGGGGUUGGAAAGUUUCGGCGGUUGGGGAUGGACUCGCGGCUUAUCAGCUUGUUGGUGGGGUAGUGGCUUACCAAGGCUUUGACGGGUAGCCGGCCUGAGAGGGUGACCGGCCACAUUGGGACUGAGAUACGGCCCAGACUCCUACGGGAGGCAGCAGUGGGGAAUACUGCACAAUGGGUGGAAGCCUGAUGCAGCAACGCCGUGUGCGGGAGGACGGCCUUCGGGUUGUAAACCGCUUUCGCCCAUGACGAAGCUUUGUGUGACGGUAGUGGGUAAAGAAGCACCGGCUAACUACGUG